CUUCCUGUAGCGUAAUAAAUAGUGUGUGUGUGCUUUGGACUUCUAAUUCAAAGGUUGUGGAUUCGAAUCCCACCCAGGAUGG